rnacentral:rRNA from 1 species
UUCCAGACUCCUACGGGAGGCAGCAGUGAGGAAUAUUGGUCAAUGGGCGAGAGCCUGAACCAGCCAAGUCGCGUGAGGGAGUACUGCCCUAUGGGUUGUAAACCUCUUUUGUCGGGGAGCAAAAAGGCCUCGUGAGGCCACAAGUGAGAGUACCCGAAGAAAAAGCAUCGGCUAACUCCGUGCCAGCAGCCGCGGUAAUACGGAGGAUGCGAGCGUUAUCCGGAUUUAUUGGGUUUAAAGGGUGCGUAGGCGGACUGGAAAGUCAGGGGUAAAAUCGAGAGGCUCAACCUCUUUCCGCCGUUGAAACUGUCGGUCUUGAGUGGGCGAGAAGUAUGCGGAAUGCGUGGUGUAGCGGUGAAAUGCAUAGAUACCACGCAGAACUCCGAUUGCGAAGGCAGCAUACCGGCGCCCGACUGACGCUGAGGCACGAAAGCGUGGGUAUCGAACAGGAUUAGAUACCCUCGUAA